rnacentral:piRNA from 1 species
UGGUGCUCUUACUAGGCUAUUCAUUGCUA